UGGUGGAGUGAUUUGUCUGGUUAAUUCCGUUAACGAACGAGACCUCGACCUGCUAAAUAGUUUUGCGAAUUCUUCGGGAUUCGAAAAAACUUCUUAGAGGGACUAUCGGUGUGUAACCGAUGGAAGUUCGAGGCAAUAACA
rnacentral:rRNA from 1 species